rnacentral:rRNA from 1 species
UUUAAACCUCUUCCAGAGUAUCAAUUGGAGGGCAAGUCUGGUGCCAGCAGCCGCGGUAAUUCCAGCUCCAAUAGCGUAUAUUAAAAUUGUUGCAGUUAAAAAGCUCGUAGUUGAAUUUCUGCUGCAUUUCAUUUCUCUUUCUGAGUUUGUUUUUGCGGCUUAUUUCGGUUUGAUUUUUUCUUUCCGGAUGAUUACUUUGAGAAAAUUAGAGUGCUCAAAGCAGGCUUUUGCCUUGAAUAGUUUAGCAUGGAAUAAUAAAGUAGGACUUUGGUUCUAUUUUGUUGGUUUUAGGUACCAAAGUAAUGGUUAAUAGGAACAGUUGGGGGCAUUCGUAUUUAACUGUCAGAGGUGAAAUUCUUAGAUUUGUUAAAGACGAACUACUGCGAAAGCAUUUGCCAAGGAUGUUUUCAUUAAUCAAGAACGAAAGUUAGGGGAUCGAA